GAUGAACGCUGGCGGCGUGCCUAAUACAUGCAAGUCGAGCGAACGGACGAGAAGCUUGCUUCUCUGAUGUUAGCGGCGGACGGGUGAGUAACACUUGGAUAACCUACCUAUAAGACUGGGAUAACUUCGGGAAACCGUAGCUAAUACCGGAUAAUAUUUUGAACCGCAUGGUUCAAAAGUGAAAGACGGUCUUGCUGUCACUUAUAGAUGGAUCCGCGCUGCAUUAGCUAGUUGGUAAGGUAACGGCUUACCAAGGCAACGAUGCAUAGCCGACCUGAGAGGGUGAUCGGCCACACUGGAACUGAGACACGGUCCAGACUCCUACGGGAGGCAGCAGUAGGGAAUCUUCCGCAAUGGGCGAAAGCCUGACGGAGCAACGCCGCGUGAGUGAUGAAGGUCUUCGGAUCGUAAAACUCUGUUAUUAGGGAAGAACAUAUGUGUAAGUAACUGUGCACAUCUUGACGGUACCUAAUCAGAAAGCCACGGCUAACUACGUG
rnacentral:rRNA from 1 species